UCCUACACUUGAAAGAAAACACCUUCCUGAGU
rnacentral:piRNA from 1 species